AGAUGGUCGGUGACAUGCCUAUUGCAAUUCGCGUGCCGAAGGCUUUGCGCAGCUCUUGCUUUCUUAUCAUGUACUGUCCCGUCGUUGUUUCCACUAUCGGUGGACGCAGGCAGUUUCAUUCCGGUCGCUGGUGUAUCCAGACGUGUUCCGCGUUACUCGUAUCGUUUUUUGGUUUUAAAUUAUGAAAGUUGCAUUAAAUUCGGUCAGUAAUAGACUAAUUUGUUGUAACUUGCAUCUAUAGUAAUAUGUUAUUAACUAUUUGUGCGUGUAGUGAUUAUAAAUGCUAGUUUGUUUUUAUCGGGUUUGGUUUUAUCGGUUGUUUUCUCAAACGGCGGAUUUCGGAGUUGUUUGGCGUCGUUUAUCAAUACGCGCAUCCUUGGAUUAAAUUACGUUGGAUUUGGAUUCAAUUUAGUACUGGUUCCCGCUAUGAUGUUUCCUCUAAUUUUGGGGAUCUUUUGCAAUUGGCACUUGCCAUGCCUUGGAGCCAAUUAGCAUCUACAUUGGAUGGCCGCGUGCUAUCAACUUGUUUACAUUGCGCGCUCGCGAGAUACGGAUAGCAUGAACCUGCAACGUCUUGCAACGUUUGUUGUGAUCAGGGGCGUAGCUACCGCCGUAUUUGCCGUAUCAAUUAUACGG